rnacentral:rRNA from 1 species
GACAGCAGUAGCCACGGGAAUACGGAGGGUGCAAGCGUUAUCCGGAUUUAUUGGGUUUAAAGGGUCCGUAGGCGGAUCUGUAAGUCAGUGGUGAAAUCUCACAGCUUAACUGUGAAACUGCCAUUGAUACUGCAGGUCUUGAGUAAAUUUGAAGUGGCUGGAAUAAGUAGUGUAGCGGUGAAAUGCAUAGAUAUUACUUAGAACACCAAUUGCGAAGGCAGGUCACUAAGAUUUAACUGACGCUGAUGGAAGAAAGCGUGGGGAGCGAACAGGAUUAGAUACCCCAGUAGUCCCUGUCUCUUAUAC